GAUGAACGCUGGCGGCGUGCCUAAUACAUGCAAGUCGAGCGAACGGACGAGAAGCUUUCUUCUCUGAUGUUAUCGGCGGACGGGUGAGUAACACGUGGAUAACCUACCUAUAAGACUGUGAUAACUUCGGGAAACCGUAGCUAAUACCGGAAAAUUUUUUGCACCGCAUGGUUCAAAAGUGAAAGACGGUCUUGCUGUCACUUAUAGCUGGAUCCGCGCUGCAUUAGCUAGUUGUUAAGGUAACGGCUUACCAAGGCAGCGAUGCAUAGCCGACCUAAGAGGGUGAACGGCCACCCGGGAACUGAGACACGGUCCAGACUCCGAGAGGGAGAAGCAGUAGAGAAUCUUCCGCGAUGGGGGAGAGCCUGACAGAGGAACGCCGCGUGAGUGAUGAAGGUGUUAGGAUCGUAGAGCUCUGUUAGCAGGAGGGAAGAUAUGUGUAAGUAACUGUGAAGAUCUUGACGGUACCUAAUCAGAAAGCCACGGCUAACUACGUG
rnacentral:rRNA from 1 species